rnacentral:tRNA from 1 species
GGAGAAGUGGCUGAGUGGUUUAAAGCGAUCGUUUGCUAAACGAGCGGGGCGUAAUGUCCCUCCCAGGUUCGAAUCCUGGCUUCUCCGCCA